CUCCUGGAAGGACAGAUGUCGGGGAGGCAGCAUGGGAGUGGUCAGAUCGUGUCGUGAGAUGUUGAGUAAGUCCGGCAACGAGUGCAGCCGUGGUCUAGGUGUUGGCCAUCGCGUUAUGGGGGGCACUCUGCGGAGACUGCCGGUGAUAAACCGGAGGAAGGUGGGGAUGACGUCAAGUCAGCAUGGCCUUUAUGUCUGGGGAUACACACGUGCUACAAUGGCCGGUACAAACCGUCGCGAUACCGCAAGGUGGAGCUAAUCGGAGAAAGCCGGUCUCAGUUCGGAUUGCAGGCUGCAACUCGCCUGCAUGAAGUUGGAAUCGCUAGUAAUCGCGGAUCAGCACGCCGCGGUGAAUACGUUCCCGGGCCUUGUACACACCGCCCGUCACAUCACGAAAGCUGGCUGUACUAGAAGUCACUGAGCUAACCCGCAAGAGAGGAAAGUGCCUAAGGUAUGGUCAGUGAUUGGG
rnacentral:rRNA from 1 species